UACGUAGGGGGCAAGCGUUGUCCGGAUUUAUUGGGCGUAAAGAGCGUGUAGGCGGCUAGAUAGGUCCGUUGUGAAAACUCGAGGCUCAACCUCGAGACGUCGAUGGAAACCAUCUGGCUAGAGUCCGGAAGAGGAGAGUGGAAUUCCUGGUGUAAGCGGUGAAAUGCGCAGAUAUCAGGAAGAACACCCCGUGGCGAAGGCGGCUCUCUGGUACGUGACUGACGCUGAGACGCGAAAAGCGUGGGGAGCAAACAGG
rnacentral:rRNA from 1 species